UGUAGUCCGGCUUGUGCCGCCUAGUUGCCAGUGGUAGCUCCAACAUUCUCACUCUAGGAUUGAGUCUAUCCCACGCGGGCCCAGUACCUACACAAGUGUAGUCAGGUUUGUGCCGCCUAAUUGCCCGUGGUAGCUCCAACAUUCCCACUCUAGGAAUGAGUCUAUCCCACGCGGGCCCAGUACCUACACAAGUGUAGUCAGGUUUGUGCCGCCUAAUUGCCCGUGGUAGCUCCAACAUUCCCACUCUAGGAAUGAGUCUAUCCCACGCGGGCCCAGUAGGCAUAUGUUGUAUAGGCUAACUCCGGAGUGCCGGCUUGUGGGGAG
rnacentral:lncRNA from 1 species